GGGUAUAGUUCAGUGGCAGAGCACAUGCUUAGCAUGCAAGAGGUCCUGGAUUCAAUCCCCAGUAUCUCCA
rnacentral:tRNA from 1 species